AACGAACGCUGGCGGCAGGCCUAACACAUGCAAGUCGAACGCUGUAGCAAUACAGAGUGGCAGACGGGUGAGUAACACGUGGGAAUCUUCCUAUCGGUACGGAAUAGCUCAGGGAAACUUGAGGUAAUACCGCAUACGCCCUUCGGGGGAAAGAUUUAUCGCCGAUAGAUGAGCCCGCGUCUGAUUAGCUAGUUGGUGAGGUAAUGGCUCACCAAGGCGACGAUCAGUAGCUGGUCUGAGAGGAUGACCAGCCACACUGGGACUGAGACACGGCCCAGACUCCUACGGGAGGCAGCAGUGGGGAAUAUUGGACAAUGGGCGCAAGCCUGAUCCAGCCAUGCCGCGUGAGUGACGAAGGUCUUCGGAUUGUAAAGCUCUUUUGCCAGGGACGAUAAUGACGGUACCUGGAGAAUAAGCCCCGGCUAACUUCGUGCCAGCCGCCGCAGUAA
rnacentral:rRNA from 1 species